rnacentral:rRNA from 1 species
GAUGAACGCUAGCGGCAGGCUUAAUACAUGCAAGUCGAGGGGCAGCACGGUUAGCAAUAACUGGUGGCGACCGGCGCACGGGUGCGUAACACGUAUACAAUCUACCUUAAACAGGGGGAUAGCCUUUCGAAAGAGAGAUUAAUACCCCGUAAUAAAUUGAACGGCAUCGUUUGAUUUUUGAAAGCUCCGGCGGUUUGAGAUGAGUAUGCGUCUGAUUAGCUAGUUGGUGAGGUAACGGCUCACCAAGGCGACGAUCAGUAGGGGAUCUGAGAGGACUAACCCCCACACUGGUACUGAGACACGGACCAGACUCCUACGGGAGGCAGCAGUAAGGAAUAUUGGUCAAUGGAGGCAACUCUGAACCAGCCAUGCCGCGUGCAGGACGACGGCCCUACUGGGUUGUAAACUGCUUUAUACAAGAGAAAACCCUGGUACGUGUACCAGGUUGAUAGUAUUGUAAGAAUAAGCAUCGGCUAACUUCGUGCCAGCAGCCGCGGU